AGUGAACGCUGGCGGCAGGCCUAACACAUGCAAGUCGAGCGGCAGCGGGUCCUUCGGGAUGCCGGCGAGCGGCGGACGGGUGAGGAAUGCAUCGGAAUCUGCCCUGUCGUGGGGGAUAACCUAGGGAAACUUAGGCUAAUACCGCAUACGACCUACGGGUGAAAGCGGGGGAUCGCAAGACCUCGCGCGGCAGGAUGAGCCGAUGUCCGAUUAGCUAGUUGGCGGGGUAAAGGCCCACCAAGGCGACGAUCGGUAGCUGGUCUGAGAGGAUGAUCAGCCACACUGGGACUGAGACACGGCCCAGACUCCUACGGGAGGCAGCAGUGGGGAAUAUUGGACAAUGGGCGCAAGCCUGAUCCAGCCAUGCCGCGUGGGUGAAGAAGGCCUUCGGGUUGUAAAGCCCUUUUGUCCGGGAAGAAAUCGUCUGGGCUAAUACCCCGGGCGGAUGACGGUACCGGAAGAAUAAGCACCGGCUAACUUCGUG
rnacentral:rRNA from 1 species